ensembl:rRNA 5S_rRNA 5S ribosomal RNA
GCUUACGGCCAUACCAACCUGGCUAUGCCCGAUCUCGUCUGAUCUCGGAAGCUAAGCAGGUUUGGGCUUGGUUAGUACUUGGAUGGGAGACCACCUGGGAAUACCAGGUGCUGUAAGCU